GAGCAAUGAAGAAUAAGAAAGACGAAAGCUUAUGGACUGAAGUUGAAAGUUCAAUACUUUUACUGCACUCUAAGAUUAUAAUUUAUAAUAGAAGUACUAACUUCCUCAGUAGCUUUCCAGAAAGAAGUAAACUCUUCCUCUUUUCUCAGUUAGCUUCUCCAUUUGAUACUUUAGUUAUGAACUUUUCUUGUAGGUUUUUGAUUGAUAAUUGAUCAGAUCACUAUUAUUUUUUGGGAUUUCUUUCUUGAUGUGAUUCUAAGAUGAGUGUUUCUAAGAUGUGUCAUCACCACUAUGUUUGGCCUGAUUGUUUACCUGAUUUUGAACACAAAGUGUGAUUUGUCUAGUUUGCCGAAACUUAGCAUCAAGCUUUUGUAUAUAUGUGUUUCAAUUGGUAACGGGUAUAGAUAUUGUACUAUUACAAUUAUUGAGCUAAAACAGUCUCUCUAAUGGUGGAAGCUUGAGCAAUCUUUAAUGGUGGAAUUACUUGUAACGAUGAGGAUACUAAGUGACAAAAAGAAGAGAGAAAGGCUUAGG
rnacentral:lncRNA from 1 species